rnacentral:rRNA from 1 species
UACGUAGGGUGCAAGCGUUGUCCGGAAUUAUUGGGCGUAAAGAGCUUGUAGGCGGUUUGUCGCGUCUGCUGUGAAAUUUCGGGGCUCAACCCCGAACUUGCAGUGGGUACGGGCAGACUAGAGUGUGGUAGGGGAGAAUGGAAUUCCCGGUGUAGCGGUGAAAUGCGUAGAUAUCGGGAAGAACACCCGUGGCGAAGGCGGCUCUCUGGGACGGUACUGGACGCUGAGACGCGAAAGCGUGGGGAGCAAACAGG